ACAAGUUUAACGGCUACGGUACCCUGACCGUACGAAGGUAGCAUAAUCACUUGUUCCUUAAAUAGGGACCUGUAUCAACGGCAUCACGAGGGCUGCACUGUCUCCUCUCUUCAAUCAGUGAAACUGAUCUCCCCGUGAAGAAGCGGGGAUUAAGCCAUAAGACGAGAAGACCCCAUGGAGCUUUAAACACGUACUCACACUAUACUUACAUGCCCCUUAACUAAAAGCCCUGAGUACAAGUUUUAGGUUGGGGAGACCGCGGAGAACAACUAAACCUCCACGACAAACGGCCCUUAAGUCCUUAUCUACGAGCCACAGCUCUAAGAAUCAAUAUACUGAUGAUUAUGACCCGAUACUAUUCGAUUAACGAACCAAGUUACCCUGGGGAUAACAGCGCAAUCUACUUCAAGAGUCCAUAUCGACAAGUGGGUUUACGACCUCGAUGUUGGAUCAGGGUAUCCCUGUGGUGCAGCAGCUACUAACGGUUCGUUUGUUCAACGAUUAAAACCCUACGUGAUCUGA
rnacentral:rRNA from 1 species